UACGUAGGGUGCAAGCGUUGUCCGGAAUUAUUGGGCGUAAAGAGCUCGUAGGCGGUUUGUUGCGUCGGCUGUGAAAUCCCGAGGCUCAACCUCGGGUCUGCAGUCGAUACGAGCAAACUAGAGUGUUGCAGGGGAGACUGGAAUUCCUGGUGAUAGCGGUGAAAUGACGCAGAUAUCAGGAGGAACACCGGUGGCGAAGGCGGGUCUCUGGGCCGAUACUGACGCUGGAGGAGCGAAAGCGUGGGGAGCAAACAGG
rnacentral:rRNA from 1 species